AAACUUUCAACAACGGAUCUCUUGGUUCUCGCAUCGAUGAAGAACGCAGCGAAACGCGAUAGUUAAUGUGAAUUGCAGAAUUCAGUGAAUCAUCGAGUCUUUGAACGCACAUUGCGCCCGUUGGUAUUCCGACGGGCACGUCUGUUUGAGCGUCAUG
rnacentral:rRNA from 1 species